rnacentral:lncRNA from 1 species
AGCUCCAGGUUGUAUCACAGAUUCGAACACAGACAUGAGAGCCGUAGGUUAGCCCCAACAAUUUGGUGUACCAAUGCAGGACCUGGGAAUUGCAGAAGACACUGGAAGAAACACUGCUGGUAUGGAGCUCCACAGACAGGCUCUGGAGAGUUUAUGUACAAGAGAGCAUGAGAAGGCCUGGAUUAGCUACUGCCCCUCCUGCUCCUCUCCCUGCUGCUGCAGCUGCUGCUUCCUGUCAUCACUGUUUGUCAAGUGAAUGUGAGCAAAGA